UUGCGCCUGCGCUCUGCGUCGCCACCGCGAGAAAGACUCCACAGGCUCGAGCCUCUAAACCUCCCCGCCAGCAGCGGUUUUCUCGAAAGGCCACGAGCUACUGAAAUGAAAGCUGCACUAAUACCUCUUCACACGUCGGAGUCUACGACUGCAUGAAGAAGGCCGUGUAGCGUUGACACGCGUUGGGAGGGUUUAAAGGACACGACAUGAAGAGGACAGCAUGGUGUGCAUGAGGGGUCGUCACACGCAGAGGGAAUGACACGCAUCCUCUAUGACUGUGAGGGUGAAUCUUAAUUACUGCGCGGAGCUCGUUUUCUGACCAACCGGUUGGAUGUACUACGAGGGAGCGCGCACCUAGACGGCCCGAAGAUGUCCCAGAGCUGGACCGCCGCCACGCCGUGCCGCUGUAUCGCCGCCGUUCUCGUUCUUCUCCUUCUCGUCUUGCCCCCGCGCGCUCUCUCCAUCCGUGCCGACAAGGCUCUCAACAAGGACGACCACGUGAGCGCCACGGUCAACGCCACCGUGUUGGACUCAAAGGGCAACCCCGUCCAGAUGAUGAGCAACGACGACGGCACGUACGGUCAGAACUCACCGAAGAGCGACACGAAAGGCACGGUGAUCGCGCCUGCGCAUUACCAUGGAGUGGUGGACCGCCAGGGCUGUGACCCCCACACACGCUUCGUGGUGCCCCCGCGCACCGGGCACUGGGUGGCCCUGCUGCAGCGCGGGAACUGCACCUUCAAGGAGAAGAUCCUGAAGGCCUCCGCCUACAACGCCUCUGCCGUGCUCGUCUACAACAACUCCACCGAAAAGACGGUCAAGAUGGGCCACGACGGCACUGGUGACACUGUAGCAGUCAUGAUCACCGAAGCGUACGGCAGAGAGAUCCUGUCCCACCUUGAGCGCAACCUGACGGUGCUGGUGAGCGUGGUGGUGGGCCAGCGCGGGCCCACCAAGAACAUCAACCGGGGUUCCCUGGUGUUCGUCUCCAUUUCCUUCAUCGUCCUGAUGAUCAUCUCGUCCGCCUGGCUCAUCUUCUACUUCAUUCAGAAGAUCCGCUACACCAACGCCCGGGACCGCAGCCAGCGUCGCCUUGGCGAUGCAGCCAAGAAAGCCAUUGGGAAGCUGACCACAAGGACCGUGAAGAAAGGAGAUAAGGAAAUUGACCCAGACUUCAACCACUGUGCAGUGUGUAUCGAGGGCUACCAGCCCAACGACGUGGUGCGAAUCCUGCCUUGCAAGCAUGUCUUUCACAAGAUGUGUGUGGACCCCUGGCUCAACGAGCACUGUACGUGCCCCAUGUGUAAACUCAACAUCCUCAAAGCUCUGGGGAUCAUGACCAACCUGCCGUGCGUGGACAACGUGGCCUUUGGCAUGGAGAGGAUAGGCCGCAGCCAGACUUCGGGCAGUCAGAGGAUGGCUCUGGUGGACCUCUCCAACGAAGCCUCCAUCAGCAUGGAGCCCCUGAGGCCUUCUGGGGGCCCUCAGGGGGUCCCCUCGGACGGAGAACUCACCCCUCACACCGGGGAAAUCAACAUUGCCGUCACCAAGCUUUGGGUUGUGGUCCUCACCUUCGGUCUUCUGUGUGUCCUGGUGCUCUGCUUCAUCAUCAUGAAGGCUGCAACACUGUUCAGCGGGCUGGAUGGAGAAGCGAUGCCAGUAGAGGAUUAGAGGAACAUUGACCUGGAAGAUGACCUCUGACCUCUGAACUACUGUAGGUCAUCCUCCGUCAUGGGUUCCUCCCUCAAGAUUGACCUUUUUGAAAUGUGGCCAUUUCUUCAACCGGAGCUCUGGCUCUCCUCGGAGCAUCGUGUGUGAGGUUGAGCUGCCCGACAACCAAGUGCCCCAUGACCUCUACGACGACAACAAGUCAUGAGCUGCGCCACCAAGAUGGCCGACCCCCCUCCUCCUCCCCCUUCCUCCCUCUCUUUGCCCCCCCCCCUCUUUUCUGCCUCCUUCCUUGCUGAAGGACCCUCUUUGGAGCGUGGGGGUGUUUGUGGGGGUGUAAAGGGAGGUGGGCAGGGGGUGUUGCGAUGGACAAUGUCUUCUGAACAUUCACAUCAAAGACUCUUCUGUCUCUGCCGCUGUGGAUUGUUACGUUGCUAUGUUGCUAUGUCAGUAAGCCCGGAGGUUGGAGUGAAGCGGUGGGGGGAUAAUGUUGAUUCUGGGGUCUGCAAAAGAAUAAUCCUUCUUUCAUGUUUUCUUAUAUUUCUCUUCAAACGAGAUACCUUUGGAUAUAUAUAUAUAUGUGUAUGUAUAUAUGUAUGUAUAUAUAUUAUGUAUAUAUAUAUAUAUAUAUACAUAUAUGUAUGUAUGUGUAUAUAUAUAUCAUCUGCUAAAUCACGUCCUGAUUCACAAAGCUUCCCUAUUGGGCCCUCUCUCUGUGGGUUGCGGUGAAAGCCCACAGCGUGCUGCCUGCCAUCGUGGACCAGCUUUCUCUCUGUCCCAGCCAUGAUGACCGCAGCGAUGAUGACCCCGUGUAGACCAGUGAAGAGGCCAUUUUUGAAUAGCAACACACUGACAGCCUCCUCAACCAAUAAAGACAGUGAAAGAGGAAGCACUGGAUAUGGAAGUCAUUUCAUGGACAGAAACCAGUGUUUGCAAACAGUGUUAUAAUCCUGUAGCAAAAGAACACAUCCCUACUGUUUCUCUAGUGCUGCGAGACGAUAAAUGUGUAUACAAAAAGCUUAUGAAAUACCCUCUGCGUGAAAUUAUCUGAAGCCCUCAACAGGGGACUAGUAUAUAACGUAUAUAUACUGUACAAUCUAUAUACACCACGAUAUAGCUUUUAAAUGGCCUAUGAAAAAACACAGUUUUAAUUUCCGUUUCUCAGUCUUGUCAGCCGAAAGAGAUUGUUUUUAGUUUAUUUUCCUUUGUGUUCUAGUCUUUGUAUCUAAUACAUUGUACCGUGGUGGUGAAUAGCAGGGCACUUGGGUUUGGUCUCUGUGCUACAUAUGCAGUCCUGCCUCCGCAUUAAACAUGUCGUUACUGCCUAUGUAGCAACGAA